UGACGAAGAGGGUUUUUGGUGAAGGGCUUGCGUCUAGGGGUCUUUAUGUUCUUGACCUCUAGAAUGAUGGAGUCCGUUGUGUGUUUUGGUGCUGUCUCAUUUUGUGUUUUGGUGUUGUCUCUUCGUUUGAUGAUCAU